CCUUCUCUCCAAUGUCGAAGAAGAAGAAACACUCACAAAGACAGAAAGUCUCAGACCUCUCUUCCCUCUCUGCUCAGGUGUUUACACAUAGAACGACUAGGAAGCAGAGGACGCCAGAAGAAAGUGAUCGGAGAUAGAAGGGGAGAAAAAUUGAGAAAGUGCACAUCAUUCGCCAUGAUAAUUGGGCCAAAUCAUUCUAUUAAUUGGUCCAUCUUAGUCAUCGGUGCUGUGGAAUUUCUCUUACAAAGUGCACCUCUCUUACUUUAUAAUUUCAAGUUAAUCACUGAUAUAGAGGAUGUGUGUACAGAUCGGAUGAACGAUUUACCAGAAGAUUAUAAGAGGGAACUGGAGCAAGUGCAUUUCAACCAUGGGUUACCUCUAUGACCAUGUCACCCUCAACAACAACAAUAACAACAAUAACAACACUAUUGGGUUCAUAGAUUUCUUGGGGGAAACACCAGUAAUGCAUCUCUUUGCCCUCGUCGUUCCAUCAUCCCCACACUCAAGAGGUAAGUAUGGUGAACAAGAUUCGACUUUGGCACCACCCAACCUAUUGAUGACAAGGAGUCCCUCUAAGUAACAUCAACAACCCAUUUUAGAGAGCUGAGGUGGCUGCCCUGAAUCCCCUUGAUGGCUCCAAGGCAUGUACACUCUGUAAGAGGAACAGUACAUCAGUAUAUCACUCUAGCCCAUUGGCCUCGAGGCCCCAAGAUCCUUUGUAAUGCUUGUGGCAUUUGGUUUAAGAAGCUGGAAAAGAAAGCUAUGCAGAUCUCGAGACACAUAAAUGUUAUUAAGAAACCUUUCUCAGUUUUGUUGCAAAGCAAAUUUAAGGAAAGGAAAGUGAAAUUUUCAAACUUAAAAAAUAAACUUUUGUAAUCAAUAACCUUUGUGAUUGUAUAAACUGUUUAAAUUUUUUAACAUAUCUAAUAAUAAUAUAUUUUAUCUGUAAAUUUUAUUGUUAUUGUUAUUAUUAUUAUUAUUAUUAUUAUUAUUAUUAUUAUUAUUAUUUUGAUAACAUAGCAAAAUGUUUUGGAUGCACAUUCAAAUGAAACUUUUAAGGAGCCCUAGGUAAGGAGAUGGUAAUGGUGGGUAAAUGUGGUAUGAGGAACAUGAACGAUCGAUAUCAAACAAAAACCCCCUUUAAGGAUGAUGAUGUACAUGAUAUAUAAUUCAGGUUCGAUUUUUUGCUUGCUUCCUUUUACAUGGUUUUUGUUGCAACGUUGAAUUGAAAAUGAAAAACGGACGGUGGGUUUACCGGAUUGAGCUUUAAGCCUAGUAAUAAUAACUUUUUUUUUUUUUUUUUUUUUUUUCUUUUUUUAAU